UGAGACCCUUAAAGUAACAAGUGAUACAGGCACACUUACUCAACUGGGGCCUGUGGAAGACACAUCAGAGGUGACAUCAGCAAGAUGGUGGACUAGGAGAUCUCAGUGCUUCCCCCCGCCCCACCCACAAAACAACAAAACAACACAAAGACACUACACACCAUGGAAACCACGCUGGGAUAGCUCCAAGACAGCAGAGAAGCCGCAGAAACCUUGUGGAGAGCAGAAAACAGAGAUGCCACUCUGCUCUGCCACCCCAUUCCCCCAUGGGGAGCAGCUUGGAGCCGAGGAGGGAUCCUCUCAGAGAGAUUUCUCCCUGCAGGGAAAAGGGCAUCACUGCUACUGGAUCCACCCCAGAGUGACCUCAGACGGGAGCUGUGGAGACACCAAGGUGCCCAACAGAUUAGACAAAAGGCAGAUGAGGAAACAGACAGCACCAACUCCCUCUUGAGGGAUGAUGGAAAGCAAGCACUGUUGCUACACCCAAUCCCUGGAGCUGGGUGUGUGGA
rnacentral:lncRNA from 1 species